rnacentral:rRNA from 1 species
GACGAACGCUGGCGGCGUGCUUAACACAUGCAAGUCGAACGGAAAGACCCUGCUUUUGUGGGGUGCUCGAGUGGCGAACGGGUGAGUAACACGUGAGUAACCUGCCCUUGACUUUGGGAUAACUUCAGGAAACUGGGGCUAAUACCGUAUAGGAGCUCCUGCUGCAUGGUGGGGGUUGGAAAGUUUCGGCGGUUGGGGAUGGACUCGCGGCUUAUCAGCUUGUUGGUGGGGUAGUGGCUUACCAAGGCUUUGACGGGUAGCCGGCCUGAGAGGGUGACCGGCCACAUUGGGACUGAGAGACGGCCCAGACUCCUACGGGAGGCAGCAGUGGGGAAUAUUGCACAAUGGGCGGAAGCCUGAUGCAGCAACGCCGCGUGCGGGAUGACGGCCUUCGGGUUGUAAACCGCUUUCGCCUGUGACGAAGCGUGAGUGACGGUAAUGGGUAAAGAAGCACCGGCUAACUACGUG